AUACUCUGAUUUCUCUUCAGAUCGAAUAAAGCUUUCACCUUUACUAAAGAUUUCCGUGGAGAGGAACAUCCAUGAGUUUAAAAAAAAUAAAAUAUUGUUUCUUGUUGUUGAGACU